AAAAUCUUCAGACUCAAAUCUCCCAAGAUAGACUCAUCUAGUAAAUCAAGUUGAUCACCUCCAGCAUCCCACAUAUUCUUAGGACCAUAAUUUUUAUUUAUUGAUUUUUUUUUAAUUAGAAAUAGAUACAAUCUUUUUUUUUUAUAAUCACAACAUAUUCUUAUAUUUUAUAAUUGUUUUAAUCUAAAAACGGAAACGAGAGUUUCCAU
rnacentral:lncRNA from 1 species